rnacentral:lncRNA from 1 species
UAUGAAUGUAAAGUAAACAGGACUUUUCUAUGUCUCAGGUUGAGGAAGAAGAAGAAAUGCCGGCCCUGGAGUUCAUUGAACUUAAUGAUGAGAUGAUUUCUCACAUCCAGUGACCAAGCUCCCCCUUCCAGCCCUCUAACUCCUCCAGACUUCAUAAAAGGUGUUCUGCUUUCAUCCCUGCAGCCACGGAAAUCUAACUUCCUCUUUCCGCUGUUUGGGAUUAGGAAGACUCUUUAACGGCACCUAAUGACACCGAAC